GAUGAACGCUGGCGGCGUGCCUAAUACAUGCAAGUCGAGCGAACAGACGAGGAGCUUGCUCCUCUGACGUUAGCGGCGGACGGGUGAGUAACACGUGGAUAACCUACCUAUAAGACUGGGAUAACUUCGGGAAACCGGAGCUAAUACCGGAUAAUAUAUUGAACCGCAUGGUUCAAUAGUGAAAGACGGUUUUGCUGUCACUUAUAGAUGGAUCCGCGCCGCAUUAGCUAGUUGGUAAGGUAACGGCUUACCAAGGCAACGAUGCGUAGCCGACCUGAGAGGGUGUUGGGCUGCACUGGAAUUGGGACGCGGUCCAGACUCCUGCGGGAAGCAGCAUAGGGUAAUCUUCACGAAUGGGCGAGAGCAUGACAGAGCAACGCCGCUUGAGUGAUGAAGGUAUUCGGAUCGUAAAACUCUGUUAUUGGGGAAGAACAAAUGUGUAAGUAACUAUGCUCGUCUUGACGGUACCUAAGCAGAAAGCUACGGCUUACUACGUG
rnacentral:rRNA from 1 species